rnacentral:piRNA from 1 species
UCUGAGCCAGGUGUGGGAUAUAGUCUCGUG